GUCGGGCAGCGCGGUCGGAGGUCACGGAGGCUCUCAGGGUGAAGGAGGAAGAGGAGGAGGAGGAGGAGGAGGUCUGGGCUCCGUCCUCAGAGAUCUGGUGAAGCCGGGAGACGAGAACCUGAGAGAGAUGAACAAGAAGCUGCAGAACAUGUUGGAGGAACAGCUGACCAAGAACAUGCACCUGCAGAAGGAUUUGGAGGUUUUGUCCCAGGAAUUAGUCCGUCUCAGUAAAGAGAACACUCCUGCUGGCGCUGGGUCAGGAUGAGACUAUCACCUGGCUCUAACUCACCCCCCCCCCCCCCCCCCCCUCCAUAACAACUAUCAUUCACCUCAACUGGAAGAUGGUGGGGAGGGGUUGGGCUCAGACUAACACCUGGAACCAACUUCUCUUGCUUUCCCCAUUCCUUAAAAAUCCCUGACCUCAGACCUGCUGCGGGCCUCCGACUACACACUGGAACUUUUUCCAUCUUUCAUUUCUCCAGUUACAGGAUGGAGGGAAUGGAAACGUUUGGAAGGGUUGGGGCUCAGCUCAUUAUACUGUUGCUAUUGAAUGUACUGUAAUUAGACUGCACCACUCAGUUUAGUUCUAUCUGUUGGGUCCAGUCUACGACCUGGCACACACACACACACACACACACACACACACACACACACACAGACACAGACAGACACAGACACACAGUUUUAACAGGACUGUAAAUUUUUGCUUUCAGUUGUAAUGUGUCUGUCAGUGAGGGGUCCUGUCUAUGUUCUGGAUCUCCUCUGCUAUUUCUACAUGAACUGACUCAUCGGUUUCUAUGUGCUGGGAUCUGGCUACUUCCUGGACUGCCUCUCUGCAAUAUGAUCUCAUCCAUCAGUCGGUACCCGAGGGCUGUGACUAUGUCCUGGAGUCUCUCUCUCUGCUUCUAUCUGUAAUCGUAACUGAACUUCUCAUUCUUCACCUCAGCGGCGCAUUGUGUUUGUUUCUUCAGCUUUCGACCGCGUGUUCACGGCCUUCAUCGGGGAGCGGUUUGCUCGGUUGUCAUGGAGACGGUUUAGUUGUUAUCAGCUUAUUUAAACACGCAGAUUUCAGCUCUGAUAACUGAGCAAACGCCCGUUUAUAAAGGCCGUGAGAUGUGGCUGAAAGCUCUGAACAACAAAAAACAAGUGAACCUUUCUGCUCGUCGGCAUGUGACUACUUCCUGGACUACAUCAGGUUUCCAUUAAAAGUUUCAGUUUCAUUUUUACGUCUUUAAAAAAAACAAAGAAACUGCAGCACGAGUUAAAAGUUAGAAGCAUGUUAACGUCUUUAUCAACAGCUUCAAUUAGUUCUACUUUUUAUCUCCGUUUAAAUCACGUCUUUAAAAAAAAAAAAACUACGUUACCCAUGAGCCUUUGCAGAAGAGAACUGAGACAUCUCAAACAACUCUGUUAGAAUUGAAUCUGUCGGGCCGUGUCUACGUCCUGGAUCGUAAAAACCUACUGUACUCAUGAUAACAGAUAACUGAUUGUGUCGGGCCGUGUCUACGUCCUGGAUUAUCACAGUUUUUCUUUGUCUUACAUGUUUGAAUUAAACCUUCUGUGUCUUUCUUUACGCGGCUGCUUUUGCAUCUUUUUCUUCUUCUAUCUUCUAUUUAUUAACGCUCGAACACUCUGGGAUGCAAAAUGGCUCAACAACAACAAACAUGCAGCUGAAAUUAAAACAUGAAAAGCUUAUAAAAAAUAUGCAAUAUCGCAAAUAAUAAAAAGCUUUAAUUGGAUUAUUUAAAACAUUAACGAAGCAAAUGUGCAGUUUUUGCUUGUUGGGAUUAAUGUUUCAAGUGUAAGAACAUAAACAACUGAUAAAAAAUAAAUAUAUUAGAAAUGUAAACAAGCUUUCGUUGUGACUUUUAGGGAUUUCUGCACCAUUUGGCAUCUCUGGUGUUUAACCUGUGAUACAAAAAAACAAGCUGAAGAAGAACUAACCGUGUCUCUGCUUUAUGUGUUUAUUGUUAUUUUAAAUAUCUUUGCACUGUUUUGUUUUUGUUUUGGUAACUUUUAAUAUUUUGCUUUCAUGUAAUCGGGACUCCAAAUGGUGCAACGAGAAGAAGUGAAACUAAAAAAAAACACAUAUCUGAUUCAUUUUGGUUAUUUUAUUUUGAAACAGGAAAUGACACGACAGGAAAUGACGCGACUUCCUGUCUGGUUUGCCUUCGUUUUUUUGGACUCAUUUGUCUUGUUUUUGUUCGUGUUGUUUUGGUUUUUUUGGGCCCUGACUACGUCCUGGGUUAGAUUUAGACAUCUCGCUACAGGCAGCUUCUUCUGACCGGGCUCUGACUACUUCCUGGAUUCUGUACAUUUUAUUCCUUUGCUUUAGUUUAAAACGCUGCAGGAAAAUUAAUCGUCGUUAAAACUUUAAAAUCAAACUCGACUUGUUCUCAGUGCAGCAUUAAAAUUUAUAGAUAUAAUAAAUAAAUAUAUAUGUGAGCUUGAGAUUCAUUAACCCUCCUGUCGUCCUCCUGGGUCAAAUUGACCCCGUCUCCUUUGACUGUUCCUUCCUUCCUUCUUCUUUCUUUAAUAUUUCCUUUGUUCUUCCCCUCCUUCCCUCUUUCUUUGCUCCUUCCUCCUUGCAUACUUCUUUCUUUCCUUCCUUCCCUCCUUACUCCUUUCUUUCCUUCCUUCCUUCCUUCCUUCCUCCUUUCCUUCCUCCCUUCUUUCCUUACUUCCUUCCUCUUUUCCUCCUUACUCCUUUCCUUCCUCCCUCCCUUACUUCUCUCCUUCCUCCUUUCCUCCCUCCCUCCUUACGCCCUUCCUACCUUCCUUUCCUCUUUUCCUUCCUCUUUUCCUCCUGACUCCUUUCCUUCCUCCUUACUCUUUUCCUUUCUCCCUCCCUCCCUCCCUCCCUCCGUCCUUACUCCUUUCCUUCCUCCCUUACUUCUCUCCUUACUUCCUUCCUCUUUUCCUUCUUACUCCUUUCCUUCCUUCCUUCCUUCCUCCUUACUCCUUUCCUUCCUCCAACCCUCCCUCCUUACUCCUUCUCUCUUUACUUCCUUACUCAUUCUCUCCUUCCUCCCUUCCUUCCUCCCUCCCUUCCUUGACCUGAGGACAACAGGAGGGUUAAGCAGAUAUUAUAAUAAUCUCUCUGCACUGAGAACAGAUCUUCUCCUCUCUUCAGAGUCGGACCGAGCGGGACGUGUCUAUGUGCUGGGCUGCAGAGUUUUGUUUGUAAUGUUUAAAUCUGUAUAUAUAUAUAUUUACGCUGUGAUACGACUUUAACUGUAUGAAGAAUCAACUGAUCUAUUUAUGAGACUUUAACGAUGAUCGUGACGCUAAUUAUUGUAACUGAUGAAAAAAUAUGAUAAAAAAAAUUCUGUCUGGA